rnacentral:lncRNA from 1 species
UCAGUAUGCCCUUGGACCCAUUCAUGAAUAAAUCGUGUGCCUUUUGCCAUCCACGCCAUAUAUAAAUACGCAGGCGUGCAAGGCGUGGUUUCUGCAGAAAAACUUACGCCUAAAAUGGAGCAGAUAAUUAGCAAAGAAGGUGGAUUCGUCGGCGGCGUACCGAUUCAUAGCCAAGUUCGGAAGAUCAGGCAAGAAAUGGAAAAGAUCAAUCACCCGGCGCUCCAGCAGCCGGAGAUUAGACCGGUUGUUCAUGAGAUCGCCCGACAGAAGCGCUGCAGAUCUCCCCUAGGGUUAGCACAGAGGCCGAUCUCCGUUGGCAAUUAAUGGAACAUUGAGAUAUCUGUUUUCAAUAUUAUGAAAUGGCUCCUCCUUUUUUCCAACUUCUUUCUUCCUUUUUUUUUUUUUUUUCAUUUGCUUUUUCUCUUAGUUUUCAGUUGUACAUAAUUUGGUUUAGGAUCUGAGCAGAAGUCACUUUUUUGUGAUGUUUGACAUCUUUUUCUUAUUUUCAGUAUUAUCAUAUCUGAAUCAAUUAGAAUCUUUGUUCUUCUUUUUUUUUUACAUUUUUUUUAGGUAUAAAGCCGUACACGCUCCUUCCAAAUUUCAAAUUAUUAAUUUAUCUCGCCUACAUUAAAAUGUUUAGGGAAAUCUCAUCUUAAUGGCUCUGCCUGAGCUCC